rnacentral:rRNA from 1 species
GUGAGGAAUAUUGGUCAAUGGGCGAGAGCCUGAACCAGCCAAGUAGCGUGCAGGAUGACGGCCCUAUGGGUUGUAAACUGCUUUUAUAAGGGAAUAAAGUGGGAGUCGUGACUCCUUUUGCAUGUACCUUAUGAAUAAGGACCGGCUAAUUCCGUGCCAGCAGCCGCGGUAAUACGGAAGGUCCGGGCGUUAUCCGGAUUUAUUGGGUUUAAAGGGAGCGUAGGCCGGAGAUUAAGCGUGUUGUGAAAUGUAGACGCUCAACGUCUGCACUGCAGCGCGAACUGGUUUCCUUGAGUACGCACAAAGUGGGCGGAAUUCGUGGUGUAGCGGUGAAAUGCUUAGAUAUCACGAAGAACUCCGAUUGCGAAGGCAGCUCACUGGAGCGCAACUGACGCUGAAGCUCGAAAGUGCGGGUAUCGAACAGGAUUAGAAACCCCAGUAGUCC